UGGGGAAUUUUGGACAAUGGGGGCAACCCUGAUCCAGCAAUGCCGCGUGUGUGAAGAAGGCCUUCGGGUUGUAAAGCACUUUUGUUCGGGAAGAAAACUUCGAUCCUAAUAUGGUUGGAGGAUGACGGUACCGGAAGAAUAAGCACCGGCUAACUACGUGCCAGCAGCCGCGGUAAUACGUAGGGUGCGAGCGUUAAUCGGAAUUACUGGGCGUAAAGCGUGCGCAGGCGGUCUGUUAAGACCGAUGUGAAAUCCCCGGGCUUAACCUGGGAACUGCAUUGGUGACUGGCAGGCUUUGAGUGUGGCAGAGGGAGGUAGAAUUCCACGUGUAGCAGUGAAAUGCGUAGAGAUGUGGAGGAAUACCGAUGGCGAAGGCAGCCUCCUGGGCCAACACUGACGCUCAUGCACGAAAGCGUGGGGAGCAAACA
rnacentral:rRNA from 2 species